rnacentral:lncRNA from 1 species
GUGCUUCAGACCGCGCGGGAAGUCCUGGGAUGGCGUGGAGCCCGCUUCAGCUGAAGGGACAGAGGGAGAGGCAGGGGCCAGACAGCGCCAACCACCUGAGACCCAGGCAAGAGACAGUAUGGUGGGUGGGGGUACUGCCCAGUAAGGGCUGGGGGAGAGGACUGAGGAAACCCUCCCUCCAUCAACGUGCCUGGGAGCCCUGCCAGGUGAGAGCCCUGUUGUUCCUGGAUGACUGUGGACCGCUCACUCCGGCCCCUCAGCCCCUACCCAGCCUGCCCCCAGGAGCAGCACGGCUGGGCACCAGCAUCUCUCCAGCUGGCAGUUGCCCCACUGGGAUCCCCCAAAUGCCCUGCAAGCCAAGCCUCCCAGCAAGGUUGUGGCCCGCAGCGGACGCUCCCCACGAGGUAGAGCCCCGUUUCCACACCUGGAGCAGCUGCACCUGGAGGUGGGGCUCAUCUCCAGACCUGGAGCAGCUGCCUGCCCCAGGGCAGAAGCCACUGCCCGCAGCUAGGGAGCAUUGAGGAGGUCUCCCCAGGUCCGCGCGGGUUUUCUCCAGGUCCUCCAGUUUCCUCCCACAUCCCAAGUAUACACCUCAGCCUCACGGCAUGUCUACAUGGGCCUAGUCCGAGUGAGUGUGGGUGUCCCAUGGAGGCCUGUCCUAUCCAGGGCGGGUGCCCACCUUGGCACUGAGCCUCCAGGAUGGGCCCUGGUCACCUGCCACUCUGAACUGGAGAAAGCAAGUUGGAAAAUGAAUGAAUACAUGAAUAUAAAUUAUCAAAUAAAAAUUAUAAAGCCUACGGUAAUCA